UACGUAGGGGGCAAGCGUUAUCCGGAAUUAUUGGGCAUAAAGGGUACGUAGGCGGGAGAUUAAGUCGGCGGUGAAAUUUUGCAGCUCAACUGUAAAAGUGCCUUCGAAACUGGUUUCCUUGAGUGUAGAUGAAGUAGGCGGAAUUUGUGGUGUAGCGGUGAAAUGCAUAGAUAUCACGAGGAACUCCGAUUGCGCAGGCAGCUUACUAAACUACUACUGACGCUCAGGCACGAAAGUGUGGGGAUCAAACAGGAUUAGAUACCCUGGUAGU
rnacentral:rRNA from 1 species